AUCGCUUCGGCCUUUUGGCCCAGAUCGCGUGUAGUAUCUGUUUUAUAGUUUAAUAUCGAUACGCCCUAUCGGGGGGACUACAUAUUAAAUGGAUUUUUCGAACAGGAGUCGGAAAUGGGGCUUGCUCCGUCCGGCCUCCACGAGAUCGCACCGGCAUUGCAGUACCUCGGGAAUGGUGCAACACUU